CUGACCGAGACGCAGGUCAAGAUCUGGUUCCAGAACCGGCGGAACAAGUGGAAGCGCCAGCUGGCGGCCGAGCUGGAGGC
rnacentral:miRNA from 1 species